rnacentral:lncRNA from 10 species
GCCCCCAGAGGUGGAGCCUACAGAGGCAGGCAGGCCUCCUUGAGGUGUGGUGGGCUCCACCCAGUUCGAGCUUCCAGGCUGCUUUGUUUACCUAAUCAAGCCUGGGCGAUGGCGGGCGCCCCUCCCCCAGCCUUGGUGCCGCCUUGCAGUUUGAUCUCAGACUGCUCUGCUAGCAAUCAGCAAGACUCUGUGGGCGUAGUACCCUCCGAGCCAGGUGCGGGAUAUUAUCUCGUGGUGCACCGUUUUUUAAGCCCGUCGGAAAAGUGCGGUAUUCCGGGUGGGAGUGACCCGAUUUUCCAGGUGCCAUCCGUCACGCCUUUCUUUGACUCAGAAAGGGAACUCCCUGACCCCUUGCGCUUCCCAAGUGAGGCAAUGCCUCCCCUGCUUCGGCUCGUGCAUGGUGCGCGCACCCACUGACCUGCGCCCAUUGUCUGGCCCUCCCUAGUGAGAUGAACCCGGUACCUCAGAUGGAAAUGCUGAAAUCACCUGUCUUCUGUGUCGCUCACGCUGGGAGCUGUAGACCGGAGCUGUUCCUAUUCGGCCAUCUUGGCUCCUCCCGGGUCCUAUUUCUUAAUAGAAGCAGAUACAGGAAUACAUAUGCAGAUUUGUUACAUGGGAAUACUGCAUGAUGCUGAGGUUUGGAGUACAGAUCCUGUCAACCUGGUAUUGAGCAAACUCGUCGUAUAAAUUCAAUCAAUGACCUGGAUUGAAAACAGCUGUUCUGGGAUAUACUGAAAUUGCCGCAGCCACCCCAGCAUUCAGCAUGACUACAGUGAUAAGUCAGCAUCCAUCAACACUGAGACAAGACCCUUCACCAGCAAAAGGAUGAAGACCUGCUAGAGGAUCAGAUAAUAGCAUUUUCAUCAAUAAACUAUUUUUAAAUUUAAGUAUGUACAUGUUUUAGACAUAAUGCAAUUGUACACAAUAUGCUAUGGUAUAGUAUAAACAUAACUUUUAUACGUACUGGGUAACAAAAUUGUGUGACUCACUUUAUAUUAUAUUCACUUUAUUGCAGUCUGGAAGCAAACUUGAAAUAUCUCUGAGGUAUGCCUGUAUUUAUUUAUUUGGAAAGAGUUACAAUACAAAGGGGGAGCUCUUAUUAAUUGAGCAAGCUAAGCCUUGUGAAUAAAUAAAUCAGAUGAACUAAUGGAUGAAUUAUAUAAGUAUUUAUGUGCAAGACAUUAUCUGAGCACUGUAGGGAAUUUGAAAAAAAUCUGUCAAAAAUAAUCCUACUUUAAAGCACUUUUUAUUAAUAGGUGAAAUCUGCAUAAAUAAUGGCAAAAAUAAAGUGUUUAGUUCUAUAUAGAGUAUAGUUUUAAAGCAAAUGUGAAGAAACAAAUAGGAAGGAACUAGUUUUCCCUGAACAGAACUGUGAAGAGUUUAUACAGCAGGUAGUACUUGAACUGGUCUGGGAACAAUAGCAUAAUGUGACAAGGAGCAUAUUUGCUGUCCUGAGUACUAAUGCCCCACAUCCUAAUAUAGUAUCUUCAGAGUUCAGAAGAAAAAAAUAUUUUGUAGUUCUCUCAUUGUCCUAAUCACAUUAAAAUAUGAAAUAAAUACUUAUAACUGACUGUGCAUAUGGUAAAAUAGGAUACAAUUACAAUUUUCUGUAAAUAUUUAAAUAUCAUUUUUUAACUUGAAUGUUUUUCAUUUAGAUUGCUACUAGUAUAGAAUAUCAAAAUUAAAUUCUGAGAAAAUUCAAAUUGACUGUUAAGAAGUUUACUUAGAACACACUAGACAUUUGCUUUGCAAUUUGUAUUUGUGAAUAUCCUGGGUGUGGAAAAUAAAAUUCUGAAAUUUUGAUACAAACAAUCUCACCCCUUGAAGAUUAUACUUGAAUUCUGAAAAGCGAGUGAAAGACAGGAGAAUGAAGAUUUAGGUGAUCAGAUGAGAAGAAACAACAAGAAGGGGAGUACUGAGAAAGAAAAGAUUAGAAUGAACACAUAAUUUUCUGUAGUUGGUCUUAGAUACUUUUUGGGGGAAAGAGAGAAGAUGGGAAAUAGGGUUGUGCAGUGUGUUGUCAUCUGCUUCGUAAGAAAUUUGGAUGGCAGAUUUGGCAGUCUGAACUUUACCCUUCCCAUAAUAAGGAGCUAUUAAAGUUUGUGUUUGUUUUGCUUUAUUUUAGAACUAGGACAAGCCAUAAUCAGGAAAACUAUGUGAUUCAGAGAAACUAACCAGUUUAAGUAGGUGACAUUCAGGCUGGGCACGGUGGCUCACGCCUGUAAUCCCAGCACUUUGGGAGGCCGAGGCAGGCAGAUCAUGAGGUCAGGAGAUCAAGACCUCCUGGCUAACACAGUGAAACCACGUCUCUAUUAAAAAC